rnacentral:rRNA from 1 species
CAGAGACUUAGCAGUAGAUGCUUUGUGUGCCUUCGGGAACUCUGAGACAGGUGCUGCAUGGCUGUCGUCAGCUCGUGUUGUGAAAUGUUGGGUUUAGUNCCCGCAAGANNGCCAACCCUUUUUCUUUUGUUGCCAGCGGUUCGGCCGGGAACUCAAAGGAGACUGCCAGUGAUAAACUGGAGGAAGGUGGGGAUGACGUCAAGUCAUCAUGGCCCUUACGAGUAGGGCUACACACGUGCUACAAUGGCAUAUACAAAGAGAAGCGACCUCGCGAGAGCAAGCGGACCUCAUAAAGUAUGUCGUAUCCGGAUCGGAGUCUGCAACUCGACUCCGUGAAGUCGGAAUCGCUAGUAAUCGUGGAUCAGAAUGCCACGGUGAAUACGUUCCCGGGGUCUUGUAC